UACGAAGGGGGCUAGCGUUGUUCGGAAUCACUGGGCGUAAAGGGCGCGUAGGCGGCCGAUCAAGUCGGGGGUGAAAGCCUGUGGCUCAACCACAGAAUUGCCUUCGAUACUGUUUGGCUUGAGACCGGAAGAGGUUAGUGGAACUGCGAGUGUAGAGGUGAAAUUCGUAGAUAUUCGCAAGAACACCAGUGGCGAAGGCGGCUGACUGGUCCGGUUCUGACGCUGAGACGCGAAAGCGUGGGGAGCAAACAGG
rnacentral:rRNA from 1 species